UACGUAGGGUGCAAGCGUUGUCCGGAAUUAUUGGGCGUAAAGAGCUCGUAGGCGGUUUGUCGCGUCUGCUGUGAAAACCCGAGGCUCAACCUCGGGCCUGCAGUGGGUACGGGCAGGCUAGAGUGGCGGUAGGGGAGAUUGGAAUUCCUGGUGUAGCGGUGGAAUGCGCAGAUAUCAGGAGGAACACCAAUGGCGAAGGCAGAUCUCUGGGCCGUAACUGACGCUGAGGAGCGAAAGCGUGGGGAGCGAACAGG
rnacentral:rRNA from 1 species